rnacentral:rRNA from 1 species
UACAGAGGGUGCGAGCGUUAAUCGGAAUUACUGAGCGUAAAGCGCGCGUAGGCGGCUUUGCAAGUCGGGUGUGAAAUCCCCAGGCUUAACCUGGGAACUGCAUUCGAGACUGCAUUGCUAGAGUAUGGGAGAGGGAAGUGGAAUUUCCGGUGUAGCGGUGAAAUGCGUAGAUAUCGGAAGGAACAUCAGUGGCGAAAGCGACUUCCUGGACCAAUACUGACGCUCAUGUGCGAAAGCGUGGGGAGCAAACAGG